CUUGGGUCCUUGCCAGCCCAACUUCAUCUUCCAGCCCUUCGCCCCCCUCGCUGUGUGGCUCCGAGGACAUGGGACAUCGCCUGGAGACUGGAACGACGGGCACACCCAGGGACCCAGGCUGCAUUCAAACGCAGCGAAUCAACUUGUGGAAACAGAGCAGGUGCUGCGGAUGCUUCCACCACACGAGGAAAUGUCUGCUGGGUGAUGAAAGGAAGCUACCGAAUAGUGGUCUCACUAUGUAGUCCAGACUGGCUUUGAACUCACAAUGUAGCCAAGGCUGGUCUCAAACUUGCAGCAAUCAUCCUGCCUCAGCCUUCCAAAUGCUGGGAUUACAGGACACAGACUCUUGAUCAGCAGACGCCGUGCUUUCCGGGGGCAUCCUGUUGAUCAGGGACUGGCAGGCAGAAAAACUCAGAGUGCUGCCACCCUGCCUUGGAGCCAGCUGAUUAUGGACUGAAACCUCUACAGACUGUGAGCUAAGUAAACCCUUUCAAAGAAAGAAAGAAAGAAAGAAAGAGUCCAAAACUUACCACUUGUGGGAUACAGCAAAAGGUAUCACAAAUGAAAAUCAGAGUCCCAAAUAGAAAGAAAAGAGAAAUAGGAUAGAACUACAUUUGAAAAGAUAAUAUCUGAGAAUGAUAGACAAACUACAAAUCCAAGAAGCUCAGAAAACUCCAACCAAAAUAAAUCCAAAGAAAUUCAUAUUCCUUUACAUUAAAUUCAUACUACUGUAAGCCAAACACAGAGAAAUUCUUAAAAGCAGUUAAAGUAAGAAACAUUUUUAAGAAGCUACAACUGGAAUGACAGCUGAUUUUUACAAAACAAUGGAAGUCAUAAAAUAAUGGAAGAUCAUCUUUACAAUCGAAAGAGAAAGAAAAUAACUUGACCACAUAGCAUUCCAUACCUACUAAAGAAACUCUUCAGAAAUAAAAGCAACAGCACUUGGGAGGGUAAGGUAGGAGGAUUCCUGAGAGUUCAAGGCCAGCUUGGGCUACAUAGUGAGUUCAAGGGCAGCCUGAACUGCAGAGCGAGACCCUGUGCCCCUACCUCAAACAAAACAAAAGGCAAAAGGAAAUCAUUUUCAGUCAAACAAAAACUGGGACUUAAUGCCAUCAGACAUGCACUCAAUGAAAUAUUAUAGAAACUGAAGUAAAAUGACCGCUGAAAGAAGCAUAGACUCCCAGAAGCAUCAAAGAGCACCAAAAAAGAUAAAUAUGGGAGACGUGAAACACUUGGCUGUUGGAGUCAGUAAUGAUAAUGCCUUUUGUGUUCCAGAACAUACAUAGGAGUGUAAUCCAUGACAGCAAUAGCAUGAAGCACCGAGGGUAAAGGAGUUAAACUGUUCUUAGGCUCUUACGUCAUUUGUCAGUGGUAAAAGUUCAACUUUAGAGCAUGUCAGUCACAAAGAGGCACACUGUGAUCUCUUUCACAAAAAAGUGUAAGACUAACUUGAAAGUUGGUAGAGGACAAAAACAGAAUAAUAGGACACAAGUGACGGUUGUGGUUAUUUCAUGGGAGGGAUUCACUGGAAAUGGGACUGGAAACGGCUUAUAUUCUUCUAUGAGUGGUGGUAAUGUAGGUGUAUUUACAUAAUUUAUGCAUGUAUGUGCAUCUUUCAUAUGUGCUAUAUAUGAUUAUUUAAUUGUAAUAUGUAACUUAGCUAUAAGAAGAUAUGUAUAAUACAGUGAUAUCUCAGUUCAUGAAUGCUUUUCUUUGCAAACAGAAGUGUUUGACAAAAUUCUGUUUUCCUUUGCAAAGUCUGCACUGGGUGACAAACACAACCUCAGCCGUCUUUCCAUCACAAACUCAAAUGUGGCCAUCUUUUCCAAAAUUGUAGAACAGGGCUGGGGGUUUAGCUCAGUAGUUCCGCCGCCUGCCUGGCAGGUGCAAGGUCCCAAGUUCGAUCCCCAGUACCAAAAAAACCAAACAAACAAAAUUGUAGAACAAAUUAAGUUUGAGAACUGAGGUCACACUGUAUAUAGUGAAGUAAUUUAAAAUAAUUAUAAAUAAAUAUUAAAUAUAUGAAC
ensembl:lncRNA